rnacentral:rRNA from 1 species
AAUGAACGCUGGCGGCGCGCCUAAUACAUGCAAGUCGAGCGAGAAGACGUAGCAAUACGUUUGUAAAGCGGCGAACGGGUGAGGAAUACAUGGGUAACCUACCCUCGAGUGGGAAUAACUAGCCGAAAGGUUAGCUAAUACCGCGUACGCUCCUUGGACUUCGGUUCAGGGAGGAAAGCGAUACCGUGGGUAUCGCGCUCUUGGUUGGGCUCAUGUCCUAUCAGCCUUGUUGGUGAGGUAACGGCGUCACCAAGGCUUCGACGGGUAGCUGGUCUGAGAGGACGAUCAGCCACACUGGCACUGCGACACGGGCCAGACUCCUACGGGAGGCAGCAGUAAGGAAUAUUGCGCAAUGGGCGAAAG